CGGCAACAGCUCAAAUUUGAAAUCUGGCCUCUUUCGGGGUCCGAGUUGUAAUUUGUAGAGGAUGUUUUGGGUACCGCGCUGGUUUAAAUUUCUUGGAACAGAAUGUCAGAGAGGGUGAGAAUCCCGUAUGUGACUGGCUGCCUUCGCCUAUGUGAAGCUCUUUCGAC
rnacentral:rRNA from 1 species